rnacentral:rRNA from 1 species
AAGGGAAAAACUAAGCGGCAAGCCUAACCAUGCAAGUCGAGCGGUAGCACAGAGAGCUUGCUCUCGUCGUGACGAGCGGCGGACGGGUGAGUAAUGUCUGGGAAACUGCCUGAUGGAGGGGGAUAACUACUGGAAACGGUAGCUAAUACCGCAUAACGUCGCAAGACCAAAGUGGGGGACCUUCGGGCCUCAUGCCAUCAGAUGUGCCCAGAUGGGAUUAGCUAGUAGGUGGGGUAACGGCUCACCUAGGCACGAUCCCUAGCUGGUCUGAGAGGAUGACCAGCCACACUGGAACUGAGACACGGUCCAGACUCCUACGGGAGGCAGCAGUGGGGAAUAUUGCACAAUGGGCGCAAGCCUGAUGCAGCCAUGCCGCGUGUGUGAAAAAGGCCUUCGGGUUGAAAGCACUUUCAGCGGGGAGAAAGCGGUAAGGUAAAACCUUGGCGAUUGACUUACCCGCAAAAAAGCACCGCUAACUCGUGCAGCACCGCGGAA